UUCGUACGAAGGUGUCCUAGUGGCGAACGGGUGAGUAACACGUUGGUGACCUGCCCCGAAGAGAGGGACAACCCCGGGAAACCGGGGCUAAUACCUCAUGUGCUCCAUGGUGUUAGAGGACCAUGGAGGAAAGGGAGCAAUCCGCUUCGGGAGGGGCCUGCGGCCCAUCAGCUAGUUGGUAGGGUAACGGCCUACCAAGGCGACGACGGGUAGGGGACCUGAGAGGGUGGUCCCCCACACUGGUACUGAAACACGGACCAG
rnacentral:rRNA from 1 species